rnacentral:lncRNA from 1 species
CAAGACCACCCAUCCCCCAAAUAGAAAUCACUAAAAAUUGUUGACCAAGUUUAUCUGAAAUCAGUCCUGCCACGUCAGAUGCUUCUUUCUCUCGUCCAAUAAGCUUAGAUUCCUCUAAAGCGUUAGUCAUAGUCUUGAUGCGAGUAAGGUUAUUUCUGACCACCUUCCUGUCUUUGCUACCUUUAGAUUGAUUCUCCAAUAUCUCAUUGGUGGGCACUACUAGGUUCAAUGUACUUGUUGUGGCUGCAUCUGAGCUUGGUAAUAGUGUUGGUGAAUCAGUUCCAUCCUGUGAAUUAUGAACACAUGCAAAUAAUAUUUGUCACAAUAAUCUCGAUCUUGCAAAUUG